GUUUAUUUCUAUACAUUUCUAUAUGAGAAAAGUAAAAUCAUUUUAAAAUUCUUAGACAUUUUACACUGUCAAUAAUCUAAAACUAAUAAAGUGGCUAUAAUUGGCUAUAGGUCCAUAAUAGGUUCAGUAAAACUUCAGUUCUAGUAGUUUUAAUUUAUUACAGACUUUCUACAAUCACUGGAAUUUACAUUUACAGGCUGACACAGUUUAUUAAUUAAAUCACAUUCUACGCUUUUUAGCCUGACUUGGUGAACAUACGAAAUUGUAAAUUUGACAAAACUGUACUACAGUAUCAGCUGUUCCCGAUCAAUCUAUCGGCAAUCAAUCAAUCAUAAACGAUUAUUAUCGAUAACUAAAUCAUAUUAGAUAAAUGAAAUUAGAACACAUUCAACUUGUGUGAAACAUACUACAGGUCCCAGCUAACUUGUUACAUAAAUCGAUAUAUACAAUGGGAAAUUGCGAGAAUCUAUAACAUUCGACAUUAUCAGCCAAUGAGACUGCAUCUUUUCGGAUGUUUUAGCCAGUGGCAGACACUGAAAGCCUUUGAAUGACUGAGUGUGUAACAAAACUAAAUAAUAGCCGAAUAACUGUGUAACAAAGCUGUAACAUGAAUAAUUUUUCAACCAUGAAACCAUUCAUUUUGGUAAGCUAUAAAUUAAGCAAGGCAAAAAAGUUUAAAGAAUUACGAUUUCCAGCUACAAAAGGUGGUCAUAUCUUGGAAACCUAAUUCGUCACCCGGCCACCUAAUAGUGAGGUUUAGACUCGCCUUCCACUCCCAUUACCUUGUACAAACUAUAAGUACGCGUCUGAUUGGUUAACGGAUCUAAACCUCAGCUAAGGGUCCGCCACUGGUUUUUAAAAGAAAUAUCAUGCGGUGCAUAUAGUUGUACUGAUGAUUCAAAUGUCUUAUUAUUGUGGGCAUAAUUGAUUACCAAUGACGUGUGAGCAGCUAUACAAAUUAGAUAAUUAGCCUAGCAACAUAUUUCAAGCUCCAGGACCUGGUAAAUAAUAAUAUAUACAAUACAUUAUUAGUCCACAUCUUCCAAAAGACGAUUGCGGGUCAUAUAUUUGUGACGCAGAACAUAAGCCAAGAGCCCAAAAGAGAACACUAAUGGGAUGUAGCUUAGAAUCGAGAUAACAGUUUGGAAGUUUUUGUAAUAAGAGUGGCCAUAAAUGCCAGAAGCAGUACCACCAAAACUGCUAAUUAGACAGAGAUUACACAACAAAACAGCAUCAGAGAUAUUUAGUAUUCUGUAUGGUACUACUGUACCACCAUUGGUAUUGUCUGCAUAAGGUUGACACAAAACAAAUAUAGCCAAGAUAAUACAACAAACACUAUUCAACAAACUAACUUGCAAUGCACUUCGAGGAACAGCGAGACGUACCACAAGUAAGAUAAAUCGACAAACAAAAUAGUAACCUGCGCACCACUGAUAACCAUCACGAAAACAUCGCUGGAAGUUAUCAAGUAAAAGUUUCUUUAAACCUUUAUCAAAGGACCUAAACCACUGACGGCGAAUAAGAAGCAACGGAAAAAAUAUACCAACAAAUAUCACCAAGAGUAGAGCAAACACAGCAAAAAUUACAUGGUAGAAGCUGAAAUACCCAACAUCUCCCUGGUAGUACAUGAAAUACUCAUUACCUACUUUGACAGGACGAAGAAUUUUCAAGCUGAUAUUGAUCACAGUAGAAUAUGACAGUACAAAUAGAGUACAAAAUGCUCGAGCCAAAGAAGUCUGUGUUAACCGACGUGUGAAAAAGUUAUUGGGCCAUUGUACAACUAUCUUGCCAAGGACAAACAAACAAAUAAAAACAUAGACAGGCAGUAUAUAGUUGAAAGCUAAUUUCUGCAAGUCAUCCAUGUUUGACCACAUGCAUACACUACCAAAUCCAAGAAUCUGAAUAUGGGCAAGAUUAAUAAUGAAGGUUAGAAAAGGAUCAAAACUCAUAUCACCAGGUGUUAAAGAUAACAGUACUUGAUAAGAAUAUAGCCAUGCAUUAAGAUAAGCGCUAAAAGGGUCAAAAUUAAUUAGCAUAAUGAAAAGCACUAAUAAAGUUAGAGAUAAUAAUAUAGCGACUAGAUAACCUAUCCAUUUCAGUGAAUCAGAAUUACACUCCCUUGUACAAUCAUCUUCACCAAUUUUUAAAAAAAAGCCCUUCUUGCACCUUCCACACACUUGCUUUUCUCUGUUACCCCUACAUUGCUUAUCUCUCUCAAACAGACACUCACCACUGGAUGUAAAAUUCUUGUGACAAUAGCAGUAGUUUUCUGGACAUGAUACAAUAACAA
rnacentral:lncRNA from 1 species